AAAAACACGUGGAUCCUCCUUGUGCGGGUCGGGUCGGUCCGGGUCUUGAGUAAAACGACGUCGUUUCAAGGCUUCAGAAGACUACCCUAAACGACGUCGUAUUGGGGUGUAUACGAAUACAAAAAAUAAACCAAAAAAUCUCAUUUUAGCCACUUCCUUUUUUAAAAAAAAAAUUCAAAACUCUCUCAACUCUCUCAUGUUUUCC
rnacentral:lncRNA from 1 species